rnacentral:misc_RNA from 1 species
CACGAAGAGGCCUCCAUCGGUCUUUCAACCUUGCCUAUCGUACCCUUUUUGUUGUUCCCUCGGCGGGGUAAAGCCCGCCGGCGGGAAGCUCGAAAAACCCUUUGCAAUCAGCAUCCAAAAACUCUGAUUACAAAACCUUAAAUCGUUA